GCAGGAAGGAGGAAAGUGGAAAGAUCCAGUGUUAAUGAAAGGGAUUAGUGGGUGUGCCGGGACCAGCGAAAAAAAGGAGUCUGGUGCCUUGUCGUGGCUGUGACAUUUCCUCUGCCAUCUGCUGCAUCGGUGCCCCCAACGUCCAGGAACUAAUCCCCGGUCCUAUGUGGUUUUGACCCUAAUUCACUGUGAGCUUUUGGAGUGCAGUGGGCUGGGAGAGAAAACCCUGUGGGGAAGAACGUGCACCGGUGUUGUGAGACAACCGUCUUUUAUAUACAUGCCCGCUCGUGGCUUUGGACCCCUACUCCACCGAGUGGUGACGUGUCAACAAUAGCAAGUAAGGAACAGUGUGCAUAUUGUGGGGGACGAUGACUGCGACGUGUUGGCUGCUAUAUGAACAUCCAGCACUGUAGCCCUUGUGUAUGAAUACCUGUUUGUGGAGUGCUUUCCGAGGUUCGCCCCUGUCUAGAUCUCUGGUCCGUUGUCUGGAAGAGAGGAGAGGGAAGCGUUCGAGUCAUUCCUGAGGUACAUACCCGGUGGCACAAACCUACCUGAAGUCACCCAGCGUGGUGGCACCAGCUGAGGCCGUGGAAGGCCCAACGUGCAGCAACUUCAAUCUGUACUUCUAUCCACUCUUGGUCAAAUUCAAGAGGUGGUGAGUCUUUCUCCAUAUAUUCACUGAAGCUAAGUAAAUUUGUGAAGGAACUCUGUCUGUCUGUUACCAGUCCUACAGGUCUGAGCUUGAGGCUCUGAGCCAUCAUGGGAGUGUUUCCACGGUUGGAGGUGACCGGUUUGAGUGUUGGUCUGGGAAGUCUGCCCCAGUGAAGAAGACCACAGUUGUCGUGACAUAUACACAUUCUCUAGACUCCCGAGCUGAAAAGGGCUUAAGC